UACGUAGGGUCCAAGCGUUAUCCGGAAUCACUGGGCUUAAAGCGUGUGUAGGCGGGCCCGUAAGUGUCUUGUGAAAUCCCACGGCUCAACCGUGGAACUGCUGGGCAUACUGCGGGUCUUGGGCCAACUAGGGGCAGCCGGAACAAGCGGUGGAGCGGUGAAAUGCGUAGAUAUCGUUUGGAACGCCAAUGGUGAAAACAGGUAGCUGGGGAUGUGCCGACGCUGAGACACGAAAGCCAGGGGAGCGAACGGG
rnacentral:rRNA from 1 species